GGGCUGCAGUAUUUUGACUGUACAAAGGUAGCAUAAUCAAUAGUCUCUUAAUUGGUGACUUGUAUGAAAGAUUGGAUGAAAUAUAAACUGUCUCUAGUUAAUUUAUAGAAAUUAAUUUUUUAGUAAAAAAGCUAAAAUAAUUUUAAAAGACGAGAAGACCCUAUAGAGUUUAAUAAUUUAUUUAAUUAUUGUUAAUAUAUAAUUUUUAAAAUUAUAAUAAAAUAAAUUAUUUUGUUGGGGUGAUAGAAAAAUUAAAUUAACUUUUUUUAUUUAUUAACAUUGAUUUAUGAUUAAAUGAUCCAUUUAUAAUGAUUAAAAGAAAAAAUUACCUUAGGGAUAACAGCGUAAUUUUUUUUUUUAGUUCAAAUAGGAAAAAAAGUUUGCGACCUCGAUGUUGGA
rnacentral:rRNA from 1 species